rnacentral:rRNA from 1 species
UCCUACGGGGGGCAGCAGUGAGGAAUAUUGGUCAAUGGGCGAGAGCCUGAACCAGCCAAGUCGCGUGAAGGAUGACGGCCCUACGGGUUGUAAACUUCUUUUGUCAGGGAGCAAUUGGGUCCACGCGUGGGCUUAGCGAGAGUACCUGAAGAAAAAGCAUCGGCUAACUCCGUGCCAGCAGCCGCGGUAAUACGGAGGAUGCGAGCGUUAUCCGGAUUUAUUGGGUUUAAAGGGUGCGUAGGCGGAAUAUCAAGUCAGCGGUAAAAAUUCGGGGCUCAACCCCGCCGUGCCGUUGAAACUGAUGU